GACGAACGCUGGCGGCGUGCUUAACACAUGCAAGUCGAACGGAAAGGCCCUGCUUUUGUGGGGUGCUCGAGUGGCGAACGGGUGAGUAACACGUGAGUAACCUGCCCUUGACUUUGGGAUAACUUCAGGAAACUGGGGCUAAUACCGGAUAGGAGCUCCUGCUGCAUGGUGGGGGGUGGGAAGUGUCGGCGGUUGGGGAUGGACUCGCGGCUUAUCAGCUUGUUGGUGGGGUAGUGGCUUACCAAGGCUUUGACGGGUAGCCGGCCUGAGAGGGUGACCGGCCACAUUGGGACUGAGAUACGGCCCAGACUCCUACGGGAGGCAGCAGUGGGGAAUAUUGCACCAUGGGCGGAAGCCUGAUGCAGCAACGCCGCGUGCGGGAUGACGGCCUUCGGGUUGUAACCCGCUUUCGCCUGUGACGAAGCGUGAGUGACGGUAAUGGGUAAAGAAGCACCGGCUAACUACGUG
rnacentral:rRNA from 1 species